rnacentral:lncRNA from 7 species
AAAAAGGAAGCAAAGGUACCUACUAGUUAUGGCUCUAGGGUGUUUCUAAACACCUAGGGAGAGACAGGUAGAAGGAACAGAAUAUUCAAAGAAUUAGCAAAUGAGGGCUUUUGGCUGAAAGAAGUUCACUACAUUUUGAGCAGGAGGUACUCAAUAUCCUUUAAGGUUGAGAUCGUCCUAUGUUAUGGUACUACAGAGCAAGUGUCGCAGUCUGGAGGUUGUGAGGCAGAUUGUUCAGCUGAAGACUGAAAUAGAGAAGACUAUUGAAAAGACUUAUUUCUUGUGACAUCUCAAUGAAAGGUUUGCACUGAAGAUUUUGGAAGACAGAUGAAUCCUUUAACAGCUUGUACCAGGCAUCUGCCAGUCUGAAGAUAUGACAUCAGCCCUUUCUAAACUUAUCUUUGACAGAGUUCAUGGGUGUGAGAAUUGUCUGUUCAUAGAACUUACUGAGUUCAUCAUUUCCUAUGAUCCUGGGGCCUUUGGUUAGUUUCAAAUAUUUUAAACAGAACAAGUACUAAGACAGACCUCUGGAGAGCUCCUGUUCUAACUGCCUUGUAAGCAUAGUAAAAAAUAGUAACUACAACCUAAAGCAUAACAAACCAUUCAGAUAUUUACUGUGCUGAUAUUUCACACAUCUCAAUUUGGAUACAAUCUGUUGUACCCUUACUCAUUCUUGUUGCACUUUUUGAAGAUAAGUGCAAGAUUUUCCUUCUGUGUUUGAGGACCUUUCCUGCUCUCCACAAUGUAUUAAAGGUGAUAGGCAGCAGUGUCACAAUGACUUCUACUGUCUUUUUCAUCACCUAGGUAUCCAUCCUUCCUGGUCACUCAGGACUGUAUUGUUUGAGAGUAUCAUCCUCACUUUAAAGUUAAAAAAAAAAAAAAAAGACAUUGAAGGUAUGGAUCAAAUAUAUACUUAGGAAGGUAUACAACAGUCAGGCUAAGUUUUAAUUCAAAGUAUUCUAUCUUAGCUUGUUACUGAGCUCCACUGGAGCUCUCAGACCAGCAAGUUUCCUCAGGUACCAGAAGAAAUGCAAUGACUAGACAUAAUGAGACUCAAUAAGGAUAGAAAUUUCAUGUUAUUUCUGAGCUUCUUGUCUUUAUGUAGCCUACAAGAUAUCAUUUGUAUCUGUCAUUAAAUCCUUUUUCAUUUCAUAUGUAUGGAUAUAUGCUUGGUACUAGUACCAUAUCUUGACAAUAAAUCAAACAUCUAGCUAAAUCUGUACUGCAUCAGCACUGUAUUUUAAUAAUGUCCCGAAGGGAAAUGAAAUAUAUAUAUAU